rnacentral:rRNA from 1 species
UACGUAGGGGGCAAGCGUUGUCCGGAAUUAUUGGGCGUAAAGAGCGCGUAGGCGGUCCGAUAAGUCGGCUGUGAAAGUCAGGGGCUCAACCCUUGAAAGCUGGCCGAUACUGUCGGACUAGAGUCCGGAAGAGGCAAGUGGAAUUCCCGGUGUAGCGGUGAAAUGCGCAGAUAUCGGGAGGAACACCAAUGGCGAAGGCAGCUUGCUGGGACGGUACUGACGCUGAGGCGCGAAAGCGUGGGGAGCAAACAGG